UGCCUCCCUGCAGCUCGCGGGGCCAGGCGCAGAUUUAGAGCUUCUCUUUUAUCCGCGCAGGGGGAAACGGGUCCCAGUGUCGGGAGGGAGCUGGCCCUGUAGGCGUCGUGCACCACUGUCACCUAGGGAACUUGGGAAAGCCUGGCUAGAUGUGGCUCAGUGGGUGACUCCGGACAGUACGAGAGCACCUUCCCCCGCCAUAUUUAUUCACGAGCCUUCCGCACCGGCUGUUUCCCUGAGUAGCUGAGCCUUUGAGGAACUCACGUGUUUCUGGGUGUCUUUUUAAUAUUAUCACCGCUUACUGCGUUCUGUCCAAAAGCUAGGCGAUUUUCAUAUUGUCAAAAGGUGUGUUACUACUUAGCGCGGUGGACUUAUAGUGGGAAGAGGAACUGCUUGGUGGUUUUCUGGUGGGUACUGUCUGGUCCCUGGAUGUCUGCAGAGAUGCAGCAGUCAGUAUUCUGUUGGGUUUCUGACAGCGCCACUGUGCGUAGCCGGAAUUUCCACACACACCUGCAAGUUAAGUGGGAAGUAAGGGUAGAGAGUUAUAUGUGUUGGAUUUUUCUAGAACGGUUGUUGAAGGCACGAGCGUUCUGGUGGCAGGGACCCUUCAUAGCUCUGUCUCCCUGGAGACCAGCUCCCCUGUGAUAUUGCCACGAUUUGAAUGAAAUGUUGGUUUCUUCCCUAGGGAGUUUGUCCACUGGAAACUACACCUGUGAGGGAUGCUGGCGUCUUGGGUGGGACAGUGACUGUUAACCUCUGAGGAUCAGCGUACGUUGGGAGCAUUGGCCAGAGCGAUUGGGCCAGCGUGGCCUCAGCCACACCUUGAUCUGGAAGCCAGAAAGGAUGUCAGCAGAGGCACACCUAAGACUCACCCUUCCGGACAUGUUGCACCCCAAGUGUUGCAACCCAGCAGGCUGUCCCCAGCGAUCUGCCUGCCCCGAAGGCUCUGCAGCUGCAAUGUGUGCUUUGCUUUUAUUCCAAAGAUGGCCAGGCUGAUGCAGGUCUGCCCACUGCCUGUGACCUCAGCCUUUCCUUUCCACUUUGUGGUGCCAUGUGCACCAGCUGCCCAGCUGGACCACAGCUCCUGGCGCAUCUGCCAGGACCACCCCACACAGACUUCAUAUUACCUUGAUGACAUCCUCUAAAGUCUCACUUUGGUUGCUUGAGGCCAGGAGUUUGGGACCAGCCUGAGCAACAUAGUGAGACUCCAUCUUUCCAGAAAGUUUAGUAUUAGUUAGAUAUAGUGGCUUUACCUAUGUAGUCCACUUCUUUGGGAAGCUGAGGCAGGAGGAUCACUUGAGCCCAAAUGUUUUGGGUUAUUGAGAGCUGUGAUGAUGCCACUGUACCCUACCCUGGGUGACAACAGAAAAAAGGAUUAGCAUUAGGGAUGUAGGCACUGCAUUUGAAAUUUCAAGCAAGAGUUGUUAUGGAAGGAUUUGGGGCACUUCAAGGAUAGUAUUUCUGUGUUGGCGAAACUUGAGAAUAAAUUGAUCUUGAAUUGA